CGUGAUUGGAUUGGACUGCACUACUGUCGCCGUUAUCUACGUAAUUCCUGGCAGCGUGAUUAUUAAAAUUAUGGAAGAUCACCCUUUCUAAAAAACGAUCACCGACGUUCCUGGAAACAAGAUUGUACUAUACUUUCUAAUUAUAGCAAGACGGCGAAAGGAUAAGAGAUAUAUAUAAAUGGAAACCACUGGAAUUUUCUUUCCGAUUAUGUGGGAUUUAUAAAUUGAUGAAUAAAACUGAAGAAAUACGUUGUUACUACUAACGUGGAUUUUUAUCCUAUUAUCUGGAAUAUCUGGAAGCACAGGAAUACACAGAAAUCGCGUUCCAUUUUUUCAUUUGUCAUCAUGAAAAUUUGCAUAAAUAUCCGUCAGCCUAACGAUCAUCAUAAUCGAAUCAUCAUAAUCAUCAUUAGAACACUACCAAAAUUUCAAAAUGUUUCAUACUUCAUAUGAACCAGCCU